UUGGAGAAAGGAUUGUGCUGGAGAGUCGCGAAGGGAGAUCGCAUUUCUAUCUGGUCUAACAUCUGGAUACCGAAUGUUGAGGAAAAUAGAUUGCAGAAUCAAAUAAGCAAUGUUAAUAUUGAGUUUGUUUCAGAUUUGAUUGAUGAAAAGAGUAGAUCAUGGAAAACAAAGUUAUUGGUUAAUACCUUUCACACAGAGAUUGUUAAAAAAAUCAUGCAGAUUCUAUUGGCAAGGGCUGUGCACGACUAUUUCCAAGUAUAGGGAGGGGAACCAUCCGGUAAUUUUUCCGUUAGAAGUGCCUACAAACUAUUACAAAGGGCUACACUGGUUCUUAGUAAUAAUAAUUUACAGGCCGAGAUUAAAACUUUCUACAGAAAACUAUGGAACCUACAUGUUCCUUCAAAACUCAAAAUUACAGUCUGGAAAAUUUCCUGGAACUACAUCCCUACUCUUGCUAAUCUUAAGAUAAAACGAGUUGCAGUGGAGACUCAAUGCCCCAGUUGUCAUCGGAAUGAAGAAGACAGUAUUCACAUUUUUCGGCAAUGUCCUACAACGGAGGAAGUAUGGAGAAAUUUACAAUUUUCUUGGGUGUUUAAUUGUAACAAUCAGGAAAUUUGGGAAUGGCUUACUUGGGUUUUCAACCGGGGAACAAGCGAACAGUGUCGUCUUUUUUGCUGUGGAUUAUGGAUCAUCUGGACAAGUAAAAAUAAGCUCCUUUAUGAAAAUUGAAACACAACAAGUUUAGAUAUUUCUAAUCACAUAAUUAGUUACGUUUCGGAGUUGAAAGGUUUAAAUGAGAAAAUACUUAGCUUUGAUUCUGACAUAGAUCUCAACCAUGAUGAACAAAGAAUGUGUCCAGCCAUCUACUUUGAUGCGGCUUCCGACCAAAAGCUUUUUAGAUCGGCUUCGGGUUUGAUUGUACGUGCGAUGGAUGGGGAAAUCUUGGCUUCUAAAUCGGUACUUCACUCUGAAGUUGCAUCACCGUUUGCGGCGGAGGCUUUUGCAGGCCUAGAUGCAAUGAGAUUAGGUAGUUCCAUGGGUUUUAAUGCAUGCAUGAUUCUGGGUGAUUCUAAAACAGUUAUCAAGAAAUGUCAAAGUGCAGAUUAUGAUAGAUCGGUCAUUGGAGCACUCAUCAGAGAUAUCCAACUCUUAAAAAUACACUUUCAAGACUUGGGGUUUCUUUUCAUCCCAAAAUCAGAAAAUCUCUUUGCUCACUUUACUGCUAGAAAAACAUUGAAAGAAAAUGAAAAUCAUUACCUAGAGGCAGGCGUCUCAAGCUGGGUUCAAAGAGAAGUGGAGAGGCUAAAGUCGAGAGCUCCAGAUUGAAGAAUAAGAAAUGACUUUUUUGAGAACUUGUAGGAGAAGAUAAAAUAUUUAAGGAGAUUUGAUCACUCUGCUAUUUCAAACAGUUGUGAUGGUUCAGAUGAUAGGAGAAGACAUUAAGAGGGCAGCUAUUGAUGUCGACCGGCAUUAAAAGGAGUAGGUUUCCAAUUUCUGUUCAGUUUAUUUUAUUUAUGGGCAGUUUUGUUUUGCUUUAUUUAGGUUUUUUAGCUUAUUGGACUUGCUUUGUUUAGACCCAAGUUCAAGUUGCAGGAGAUCAUUUGUUCUUUUUACAGUUCUUAUUAUUUUAAUAAAACCAGUCGAUUUAGUAAAAAAAAAAAACUUACACAACCAAAAUCAAAUAAACUAAUUAUUGUUUAUCGUGUCAAUUUUUUAACCUUUUAUAUUAAAAAAUUCUAUUGUUAAUAUAUUAAAAAAUUAUUCUUAUUUUAAAUUAAAAUUAGAUUGAAAUCAAAUUUAAAUUUAAUGAUGUAUUAUCUAGGGUAAGGUAGAAUAUGAC
rnacentral:lncRNA from 1 species